rnacentral:rRNA from 1 species
UAGCUUCAGGCCUAACACAUGCAAGUCGAACGGUAACAGGAAACAGCUUGCUGUUUCGCUGACGAGUGGCGGACGGGUGAGUAAUGUCUGGGAAACUGCCUGAUGGAGGGGGAUAACUACUGGAAACGGUAGCUAAUACCGCAUAACGUCGCAAGACCAAAGAGGGGGACCCUCGGGCCUCUUGCCAUCGGAUGUGCCCAGAUGGGAUUAGCUUGUUGGUGGGGUAACGGCUCACCAAGGCGACGAUCCCUAGCUGGUCUGAGAGGAUGACCAGCCACACUGGAACUGAGACACGGUCCAGACUCCUACGGGAGGCAGCAGUGGGGAAUAUUGCACAAUGGGCGCAAGCCUGAUGCAGCCAUGCCGCGUGUAUGAAGAAGGCCUUCGGGUUGUAAAGUACUUUCAGCGGGGAGGAAGGGAGUAAAGUUAAUACCUUUGCUCAUUGACGUUACCCGCAGAAGAAGCACCGGCUAACUCCGUGCCAGCAGCCGCGGUAAUACGGAGGGUGCAAGCGUUAAUCGGAAUUACUGGGCGUAAAGCGCACGCAGGCGGUUUGUUAAGUCAGAUGUGAAAUCCCCGGGCUCAACCUGGGAACUGCAU